GACGAACGCUGGCGGCGUGCCUAAUACAUGCAAGUCGAACGCACUCUCGUUUAGAUUGAAGGAGCUUGCUCCUGAUUGAUAAACAUUUGAGUGAGUGGCGGACGGGUGAGUAACACGUGGGUAACCUGCCCUAAAGUGGGGGAUAACAUUUGGAAACAGAUGCUAAUACCGCAUAAAACCUAACACCGCAUGGUGUAGGGUUGAAAGAUGGUUUCGGCUAUCACUUUAGGAUGGACCCGCGGUGCAUUAGUUAGUUGGUGAGGUAAAGGCUCACCAAGACCGUGAUGCAUAGCCGACCUGAGAGGGUAAUCGGCCACACUGGGACUGAGACACGGCCCAGACUCCUACGGGAGGCAGCAGUAGGGAAUCUUCCACAAUGGACGAAAGUCUGAUGGAGCAACGCCGCGUGAGUGAAGAAGGUUUUCGGAUCGUAAAACUCUGUUGUUGGAGAAGAAUGUAUCUGAUAGUAACUGAUCAGGUAGUGGCGGUAUCCAACCAGAAAGCCACGG
rnacentral:rRNA from 1 species